AUUGAACGCUGGCGGAAUGCUUUACACAUGCAAGUCGAACGGCAGCACGGACUUCGGUCUGGUGGCGAGUGGCGAACGGGUGAGUAAUGUAUCGGCACGUGCCCAGUCGUGGGGGAUAACGUAGUGAAAAUUACGCUAAUACCGAAUACGAUCUAUGGAUGAAAGCGGGGGAUCGCAAGACCUCGCGCGAUUGGAGCGGCCGAUAUCAGAUUAGGUAGUUGGUGGGGUAAAGGCCCACCUAGCCAAAGAUCUAUAGCUGGUCUGAGAGGACGAGCAGCCACACUGGAACUGAGACACGGUCCAGACUCCUACGGGAGGCAGCAGUGGGGAAUUUUGGACAAUGGGCGAAAGCCUGAUCCAGCCAUUCCGCGUGCAGGAUGAAGGCCCUCGGGUUGUAAACUGCUUUUGUACAGAACGAAAAGGUUUCUACUAAUACUAGGAGCUCAUGACGGUACUGUAAGAAUAAGCACCGGCUAACUACGUGCCAGCAGCCGCAGUAA
rnacentral:rRNA from 1 species